GUGCUCACUGCAACAGCAUAUAUACUAAAAUUGAAACAAUACAGAGUAGAUUAGCAUGGACCUUGCACAAGGAGGACAUGCAAAUCUGUGAAAUUUUACAUGUUUUU